rnacentral:rRNA from 1 species
AUGUUGAAAGGCGCUUUCGCGCCACUGCAGGAUGGGCCCGCGGUGCAUUAGCUAGUUGGUGGGGUAACGGCCUACCAAGGCGACGAUGCAUAGCCGACCUGAGAGGGUGAUCGGCCACAUUGGACUGAGACACGGCCCAAACUCCUACGGGAGGCAGCAGUAGGGAAUCUUCCACAAUUGGACGAAAGUCU